rnacentral:rRNA from 1 species
CCUACGGGAGGCAGCAGUGGGGAAUAUUGCACAAUGGGGGAAACCCUGAUGCAGCGACGCCGCGUGGGUGACGAAGUAUUUCGGUAUGUAAAGCUCUAUCAGCAGGGAAGAAGAUGACGGUACCUGACCAAGAAGCCCCGGCUAACUACGUGCCAGCAGCCGCGGUAAUACGUAGGGGGCAAGCGUUUUCCGGAUUUACUGGGUGUAAAGGGAGCGUAGGAGGCAAGGCAAGUCAGAAGUGAAAACCCGGGGCUUAACCCCGCGGACUGCUUUUGAAACUGUCAGGCUGGAGUGCAGGAGGGGUAAGUGGAAUUCCUAGUGUAGCGGUGAAAUGCGUAGAUAUCAGGAGGAACACCAGUGGCGAAGGCGGCUUGCUGGACUGUAACUGACAUUGAGGCUCGAAAGCGUGGGGAGCAAACAGGAUUAGAUACCCGAGUAGUC